rnacentral:rRNA from 12 species
ACGAACGCUGGCGGCGUGCCUAAUACAUGCAAGUCGUACGCUUCUUUUUCCACCGGAGCUUGCUCCACCGGAAAAAGAAGAGUGGCGAACGGGUGAGUAACACGUGGGUAACCUGCCCAUCAGAAGGGGAUAACACUUGGAAACAGGUGCUAAUACCGUAUAACAAUCGAAACCGCAUGGUUUUGAUUUGAAAGGCGCUUUCGGGUGUCGCUGAUGGAUGGACCCGCGGUGCAUUAGCUAGUUGGUGAGGUAACGGCUCACCAAGGCCACGAUGCAUAGCCGACCUGAGAGGGUGAUCGGCCACAUUGGGACUGAGACACGGCCCAAACUCCUACGGGAGGCAGCAGUAGGGAAUCUUCGGCAAUGGACGAAAGUCUGACCGAGCAACGCCGCGUGAGUGAAGAAGGUUUUCGGAUCGUAAAACUCUGUUGUUAGAGAAGAACAAGGAUGAGAGUAACUGUUCAUCCCUUGACGGUAUCUAACCAGAAAGCCACGGCUAACUACGUGCCAGCAGCCGCGGUAAUACGUAGGUGGCAAGCGUUGUCCGGAUUUAUUGGGCGUAAAGCGAGCGCAGGCGGUUUCUUAAGUCUGAUGUGAAAGCCCCCGGCUCAACCGGGGAGGGUCAUUGGAAACUGGGAGACUUGAGUGCAGAAGAGGAGAGUGGAAUUCCAUGUGUAGCGGUGAAAUGCGUAGAUAUAUGGAGGAACACCAGUGGCGAAGGCGGCUCUCUGGUCUGUAACUGACGCUGAGGCUCGAAAGCGUGGGGAGCAAACAGGAUUAGAUACCCUGGUAGUCCACGCCGUAAACGAUGAGUGCUAAGUGUUGGAGGGUUUCCGCCCUUCAGUGCUGCAGCUAACGCAUUAAGCACUCCGCCUGGGGAGUACGACCGCAAGGUUGAAACUCAAAGGAAUUGACGGGGGCCCGCACAAGCGGUGGAGCAUGUGGUUUAAUUCGAAGCAACGCGAAGAACCUUACCAGGUCUUGACAUCCUUUGACCACUCUAGAGAUAGAGCUUCCCCUUCGGGGGCAAAGUGACAGGUGGUGCAUGGUUGUCGUCAGCUCGUGUCGUGAGAUGUUGGGUUAAGUCCCGCAACGAGCGCAACCCUUAUUGUUAGUUGCCAUCAUUCAGUUGGGCACUCUAGCAAGACUGCCGGUGACAAACCGGAGGAAGGUGGGGGAUGACGUCAAAUCAUCAUGCCCCCUUAUGACCUGGGCUACACACGUGCUACAAUGGGGAAGUACAACGAGGUUGCGAAAGUCGCGAAGGCUAAGCCUAAUCUCUUUAAAGCUUCUCUCAGGUUCGGAUUGCAGGCUGCCAACUCGCCUGCAUGAAACCCGGAAUCGCUAGUAAUCGCGGAUCAGCACGCCGCGGUGGAAUACGUUUCCCGGGGCCUUGGUACACACCGGCCCGGUCACACCCACGAAGAGUUUUGU